UUUUGGAGACCAAACUGAAACAACAAGGCAAGUGGUCCUGCUGGAGUUGACUGUUCCCUGGGAAGACCGGAUGGAGGAGGCCUUUGAGAGGAAGAGGGCCAAGUACGAGGAGUUGGCAAGCGAAUGCCGAAGC